UAGUUGUCACCUCUUUCCGAACUCUCUACGAAACCCUAGCCGGACGCGGUGCUAGCACACCGACCUACGUCACUUCAUCCCUAUACGUGUGGAUACUGUGAAAGUACUGCUGCCGUUGUUGUGGUGCUGAUCAGCGAUAAGGACACUACAACGUGAUCGACUACUUCGUCUUUAUGGAUGCACACGACUCCUCUUUUACUGCACUGCACGUCUAACAGUAAUGAUCCAUGAUCCCCUACUCGUAUAGUUUCCUGAUUAAACACGGUAAAAAAAUUUGAUUUAUUCUAACACAGCCUACCCGUUCCCCAACAUCUUCGAGCUUUACUUGUCACUCACCGUACACAAAUUUUGGUUUAGAGUUAUUUUGGAACUGAAAGCUGAACAAGUGUAGUCAUGACAGUAAGAAUUAAUAAGAAACAAUGAGAUGGAGUAAUGCAAUGUGACUGGCUGACUUUCUUGCCGUAAACAUUGUUGUGAUCAUUUAAUGCACAUGCAGUUAUGCCACGGCUACCAUGGUUUGAUCAUUUAAUGCACAUGCAGUUAUGCCACGGUCCGUUUCUGAAUUUUUCCAUUGCAUUUAUAUGAUUUAUAUGUUCUAUUCCAGGGCUACCAUGGUGAUACAUCCGCUACAUUUCUCUGUGGUGAUGCUGAUGACGAAGCUAAGAAAUUAGUUCAGGUAACAGGAGAAUGUCCUGACAAGGCUAUAUCAAUCUGUGCACCUGGGGUGGAGGUCAAACGUAUUGGUAGAACUAUACAGUAUGUAAAUGAGAAGGAUCAUGCAGACAAAUUCAAGUUCAGUAUAGUUCGACAUUUUGUUGGCCAUGGGGUAGGAGAAUUGUUUCAUGAGCUUGUCGUGCUUCAUUUCCGUGAGUUCUUCACUCCGGCAGAACAUCUUUUACUUCAUGCUGCCUUGAGCCCAUGCUAACCGUGGGAAGCAUAGACCCUGUCAUUUGGUUCGAUGACUGGGCAGCAGUCACGGAAGACAGCAGCUUGUCGGUUCGAGCACAGGAUACUGUUUAUAACCGAAGAUGGCCCUGAAAUAUUGACAGUGUUAACUGGAGGCCGAAGAACAAAAACGAGCAAUCAAUCGGCUGGAGAGAUCCUUCGAUUUUUUUUGGACUACUUGGUCCAACCCAAACCCUGAUGCAGAAUGGCAAACGCACAUUGUGGUCUUGUUUUUUUUUUUCUUUGAAAGGAUGAUCUCGGUUAAUUGGUACGAUGAUAUAUAGAAGUUCUGUACUACCUUGAGGUUAAACUUGAAGCGUAUGUUCUAUUGGUGUUUGGUUAAAGACUUACAGUUGAUCA